UUAAGUUCAGCGGGUAUCCCUACCUGAUCCGAGGUCAACCCAGAAUAAAAAUUGGGGUUGAGAGGCAGAACAUUUAUCUGACAGAAGCGAUGAAGUUUCCUAGACGCUUGAAGCCAGGCAGUGUCGCCGUUGCAUUUGAGGCGUGUCCCACAGAGGGGACAUCGCCCAAGACCAGGCCUACAAGUAGGCUUGAGUUUAGC
rnacentral:misc_RNA from 1 species